UGGAAUAUGAUAGGAAAAUAUUAAUGAUGCAGUUCUUUCUUUUUUUUCCCCAGGAGUUUUGCCUUUACUUCUGCAGAUAUUGAAAAUUUGUUCAAGGUCUUGACUUUUUAUGAAUUUGGAUUUAUGGCUCCAAAUUAUUCAGAGGAUUUAAUAAAGAGAGAACAACAUUUCUUUUACCCAAGUUUUGCCUCAUGUAACUUCUCAACAGUGGAAUUUUUUUAAAAGCAGGUGGGGGCUUUGUGAGGUGCGUAGGUCAUCACGGUGGAGCCCUUGCGAAUGGGAUUUGCUCCUAUGAAAAAAAGAUCUCACAGAGCUGCCUGGCCCCUUCCACCACGUGAAGAUACAAGGAGAAGUCUUGCCACCUGGAAGAGGCCCUCUACUCAACCAUGCUGGCUGGCACAGUGAUCUCAGACU